rnacentral:rRNA from 1 species
UACGUAGGGGGCAAGCGUUUGUCCGGAUUUAUUGGGCGUAAAGAGCGUGUAGGCGGCCUGAUAGGUCGGUUGUGAAAACUGGAGGCUUAACCUUCAGACGUCGGCCGAAACCAUCUGGCUAGAGUCCGGAAGAGGAGAGUGGAAUUCCUGGUGUAGCGGUGAAAUGCGCAGAUAUCAGGAGGAACACCGGUGGCGAAGGCGGGUCUCUGGACGGUGACUGACGCUGAGACGCGAAAGCGUGGGGAGCAAAACG